CCAGACUCCUACGGGAGGCAGCAGUAGGGAAUCUUCGGCAAUGGACGAAAGUCUGACCGAGCAACGCCGCGUGAGUGAAGAAGGUUUUCGGAUCGUAAAACUCUGUUGGUAGAGAAGAACGUUGGUGAGAGUGGAAAGCUCAUCAAGUGACGGUAACUACCCAGAAAGGGACGGCUAACUACGUGCCAGCGGCCGCGGUAAUACGUAGGUCCCGAGCGUUGUCCGGAUUUAUUGGGCGUAAAGCGAGCGCAGGUGGUUUAUUAAGUCUGGUGUAAAAGGCAGUGGCUCAACCAUUGUAUGCAUUGGAAACUGGUAGACUUGAGUGCAGGAGAGGAGAGUGGAAUUCCAUGUGUAGCGGUGAAAUGCGUAGAUAUAUGGAGGAACACCGGUGGCGAAAGCGGCUCUCUGGCCUGUAACUGACACUGAGGCUCGAAAGCGUGGGGAGCAAACAGGAUUAGAUACCCUGGUAGUCCACGCCGUAAACGAUGAGUGCUAGAUGUAGGGAGCUAUAAGUUCUCUGUAUCGCAGCUAACGCAAUAAGCACUCCGCCUGGGGAGUACGACCGCAAGGUUGAAACUCAAAGGAAUUGACGGGGGCCCGCACAAGAAGGGCGAAUUCCAGCAC
rnacentral:rRNA from 1 species